GACGGCUCUGACAGUUGGAUGCCCAAGAAAAGAUCCUGGAUGUCGCCCCUCCCCCAGGGUGAGACCCUUUGUACGCUUCAAAUGUGUGCGUGCACCCAUGGAUGUGAUAUGACCUCACCGAAGAGGCAUGACCUCAUGACAGAAUUCCAAUUCAUUUUAGCAGCAAGAGCACGGGCAGCGCGGCCUGUGAUAUAAUUACUAUAAACAAACACAUCCUGGACGGCUGACUGUGUUUGUGGAAAUAAGCUGUUUACCGAGGCGGGCUUGUGCACAGCUGUUGACGACAGUGGAAAUACGAAAGACACGGCUAGGAGCGCCAAUUCAUCUAAACAGACAACAAACAAACAAGCGGAACACACCGGCUCCUGUUCAUCUGAUUGGCAUGUUUAGACGCCUGGAAAAUUUUGACUGUCGCUACUGCAUAAACCGCUUGUCGAAACGUUUAUGAUGUAUUUACUGUAUGAAGUAAUGUAUGCAUCCUAUCCGGGAAACCGGACUGCUGGAAAUCAAUCUUGCGUAACAUUGCUGUUUGUUUAUAUUCCGUUUUAGUGUUUUGCAAUGCAUCCACGGUUUGCCCUUACUGUACAUACGAUAUGGCUAUAUAAGAUUGUGUUCAGAGCGUACACGUUUGGGCUCAUGUUAUUUAAAUAACGGCCAGGUUGUUGUAAUUACAGUAACAGGUUCAUGCACAGUUUAAUGUUGGAGUCUGGGUGAAGUUUUAUUUGGGGCAUUUAAAACUGUUUAUGUUAUAAUUGUCUUAUUCUGCUACAGUCAGUAAACAAUGGAGGUCAGAUUGAUACAGAAUAUAGGGUGGGUAUUUAUCAAAGCACGGAGAGAGGUAAAGCAUACCUCCCAACUCCUGCUGUUCUGCUCUACCACCCAUGGGGCAGAUGUAUUAACCCGGAGAAGGCAUAAGGAAGUGAUAAACCAGUGAUAUGUGCAAGGGGAUAAACGCGCCAGCCAAUCAGCUCCAAUAUGCAAACUGACAGGAACUGAUUGGCUGGUGCAUUUAUCACUGGUUUAUCACUUUAUGCCGUCUCCAGGUUAAUACAUCUGCCCCCAUGGGGUGGGCGGAGCACUGUUACCACAGCUCCACGGAGCAGCAUGUGUUUAGAUGCCGUGCACCAGGGACGUGCAGUCAGAGGAGCCCCCCCUGUCAUAUUCCAAUCUGAUGAUUACAAUAAUACAAAGACAAUAUUUAUAAAACAGAUUCUGUGUUACAAA